ACGAACGCUGGCGGCGUGCCUAAUACAUGCAAGUCGAACGCUUCUUUUUCCACCGGAGCUUGCUCCACCGGAAAAAGAGGAGUGGCGAACGGGUGAGUAACACGUGGGUAACCUGCCCAUCAGAAGGGGAUAACACUUGGAAACAGGUGCUAAUACCGUAUAACAAUCGAAACCGCAUGGUUUUGAUUUGAAAGGCGCUUUCGGGUGUCGCUGAUGGAUGGACCCGCGGUGCAUUAGCUAGUUGGUGAGGUAACGGCUCACCAAGGCGACGAUGCAUAGCCGACCUGAGAGGGUGAUCGGCCACAUUGGGACUGAGACACGGCCCAAACUCCUACGGGAGGCAGCAGUAGGGAAUCUUCGGCAAUGGACGAAAGUCUGACCGAGCAACGCCGCGUGAGUGAAGAAGGUUUUCGGAUCGUAAAACUCUGUUGUUAGAGAAGAACAAGGAUGAGAGUAACUGUUCAUCCCUUGGCGGUAUCUAACCAGAAAGCCACGGCUAACUACGUGCCAGCAGCCGCGGUAAUACGUAGGUGGCAAGCGUUGUCCGGAUUUAUUGGGCGUAAAGCGAGCGCAGGCGGUUUCUUAAGUCUGAUGUGAAAGCCCCCGGCUCAACCGGGGAGGGUCAUUGGAAACUGGGAGACUUGAGUGCAGAAGAGGAGAGUGGAAUUCCAUGUGUAGCGGUGAAAUGCGUAGAUAUAUGGAGGAACACCAGUGGCGAAGGCGGCUCUCUGGUCUGUAACUGACGCUGAGGCUCGAAAGCGUGGGGAGCAAACAGGAUUAGAUACCCUGGUAGUCCACGCCGUAAACGAUGAGUGCUAAGUGUUGGAGGGUUUCCGCCCUUCAGUGCUGCAGCUAACGCAUUAAGCACUCCGCCUGGGGAGUACGACCGCAAGGUUGAAACUCAAAGGAAUUGACGGGGGCCCGCACAAGCGGUGGAGCAUGUGGUUUAAUUCGAAGCAACGCGAAGAACCUUACCAGGUCUUGACAUCCUUUGACCACUCUAGAGAUAGAGCUUCCCCUUCGGGGGCAAAGUGACAGGUGGUGCAUGGUUGUCGUCAGCUCGUGUCGUGAGAUGUUGGGUUAAGUCCCGCAACGAGCGCAACCCUUAUUGUUAGUUGCCAUCAUUUAGUUGGGCACUCUAGCAAGACUGCCGGUGACAAACCGGAGGAAGGUGGGGAUGACGUCAAAUCAUCAUGCCCCUUAUGACCUGGGCUACACACGUGCUACAAUGGGAAGUACAACGAGUCGCAAAGUCGCGAGGCUAAGCUAAUCUCUUAAAGCUUCUCUCAGUUCGGAUUGUAGGCUGCAACUCGCCUACAUGAAGCCGGAAUCGCUAGUAAUCGCGGAUCAGCACGCCGCGGUGAAUACGUUCCCGGGCCUUGUACACACCGCCCGUCACACCACGAGAGUUUGUAACACCCGAAGUCGGUGAGGUAACCUUUUGGAGCCAGCCGCCUAAGGUGGGAUAGAUGAUUGGGGUG
rnacentral:rRNA from 1 species